rnacentral:rRNA from 1 species
AUACGUAGGGGGCAAGCGUUGUCCGGAAUUAUUGGGCGUAAAGCGCGCGCAGGCGGUCUUUUAAGUCUGAUGUGAAAUCUCGCGGCUCAACCGCGAGCGGCCAUUGGAAACUGGGAGACUUGAGUAUAGGAGAGGAAAGUGGAAUUCCACGUGUAGCGGUGAAAUGCGUAGAGAUGUGGAGGAACACCAGUGGCGAAGGCGACUUUCUGGCCUAUAACUGACGCUGAGGCGCGAAAGCGUGGGGAGCAAACAGGAUUAGAUACCCUGGUAGUCCACGCCGUAAACGAUGAGUGCUAGGUGUUAGGGGUUUCGAUACCCUUAGUGCCGGCGUUAACACAUUAAGCACUCCGCCUGGGGAGUACGGCCGCAAGGCUGAA